CCUACGUGCGGCAGCAGUGGGGAAUAUUGGACAAUGGGCGAAAGCCUGAUCCAGCCAUGCCGCGUGUGUGAAGAAGGCCUUCGGGUUGUAAAGCACUUUCAGUGGAGAAGAAAGCCUUGGGGCUAAUACCCUCGAGGAAGGACAUCACCCACAGAAGAAGCACCGGCUAACUCCGUGCCAGCAGCCGCGGUAAUACGGAGGGUGCGAGCGUUAAUCGGAAUUACUGGGCGUAAAGCGCGCGUAGGCGGUCUGAUAAGCCGGUUGUGAAAGCCCCGGGCUCAACCUGGGAACGGCAUCCGGAACGGUCAGGCUAGAGUGCGUGAGAGGAAGGUAGAAUUCCCCGUGGCGCGGUGAAAUGCGUAGAGAUCGGGAGGAAUACCAGGAGCGAAGGCGGCCUUCUGGAAUGACACUGACGCUGAGGUGCGAAAGAGUGGGUAGCAAACAGGAUUAGAUACCCCAGUAGUC
rnacentral:rRNA from 1 species